GGCCCCGCCCCCUGCGGCGGGGUCCGGAAGCGUCCGGGGCUCAGUCGGGCAGCGGCGGCCGCGGCGAGCGGAGCUCCGGGCCCGCCAUGGCCGCGGGGGCGGUGGGGGCUGUCCCGGCGGAGCCGCCGCCGCCGCUGGGCCGCCUGCCCGGAGGAGCCGGCACCGAGCGCGCCCUGGAAGAAGCAGAGGCCUCCGGCACCCUCAGUCUGGCCGGCCGGCGGCUGCGCGCCUUCCCGGCGGCGGCGGCGCGGCGCUGGGACCUCAGCGACACCACACAGGCCGACCUGUCCCGGAACCGCUUCGGGGAGGUGCCGGAGGCCGCCUGCCGCCUGGUCUCGCUGGAGGGGCUGAGCCUGUACCACAACUGCCUGCGCAGCGUGCCCCCGGCCAUCGCCAACCUGCAGGCGCUGGCUCACCUGGACCUCAGCCGCAACCAGCUGAGCUCGCUGCCCGCCUGCCUGUGCCUGCUGCCCCUGCGCGUUCUCAACGCCAGCAACAACCGCCUGGCGCGGCUGCCGCCGAACCUGGGCUCGCUGCGCUCGCUGCGGCAGCUGGACGUCGGCUGCAACCGGCUGCGGGCGCUGCCGCCGGGGCUGGGGCAGCUGCGGGCGCUGCGGGACCUCAGCGUGCGGCGGAAUCAGCUGGCGGCGCUGCCCGAGGAGCUCUCGGAGCUGCCCCUGGUGCGGCUGGAUUUCUCCUGCAACCGGGUGGUGGCGAUUCCGCGCUGCUUCCGGCGGCUCCGGCACCUGCAGACGCUGCUGGCGGACAACAACCCCCUCCAGUUCCCCCCCGCCCAGGUCUGCCUGAAGGGCAAAGUCCACAUCUUCAAGUACCUGGAAGCCGAGGCUGCCGCCCAUCCUCCCCCGGCAUGCCCCCCGGACGAGCCGUGUCCCCUCCGGCCGCGGGGGGGGCUGGACUCCGGCUUCCACAGCGUGGACAGCGGCAGCAAGCGCUGGUCGGGGAACGAGGUGGGAUUCGGGGGCGUCGCGGGGGGGGCAGAUUUGGGGUGUCCCCCAACCUCGGCACCGUUUCAGUCCACGGACGAGCCCUCGGAGCCGAGCCGGCAGCACAGGGAGACGCGCGGCGGGGCAGCUGGUGACAGUGACCCGGAGCAGCUGGAGGAGGAGCCCUCGCCCGAGGAGCAGCAGAGCCAGAGCCUGAGAGGUGACAGCCCCGAGGGCACCAGGGGGGUCCCCACUUGCCGGCGGCGCCCCAAGAACCUGGAGGUGUGGAUGGAGAGAGAGACGGAGAGGAGCCGGGACAGCCCCCCCGGACCCCGACCAGCUGAUGGCGGAGGUGCGCCAGAGCCUCGAGGCGCUGCUGCAGCUGCGGCUCCCGGACGAGCUGGGGGACCCCGAGCUGCUGCGGCGCGCGGCCGCCCGCCUGCGCCCCUGGGCCAGCCCCCCCAGCCCCCGCCGGACGCCGCCGCCCCGCCGCCGCUCGGGGCUCCCCGAGGUGCGGGAGGAGCCGAGCCGGGCCCGGGCCCCGCGGGGGGCGCCCGUCCCCCCCCGGUGUCCCCGUUAAUUCGUCACUUCCUCUCCCCGGUGUCCCCGUUAAUUCGUCACUUCCUCUCCCCGGUGUCCCCGUUAAUUCGGCGCCAUCUUUGUUUCGGGCAGGCCGCCAUGGCUCUGCCCUCAGCGGUGAGGCGCCGGCCGCCAUCUUGGCUGAGGGCACAUAGAGGGCUGAGGGGGUGCCAUCUUUAAUGAGGGCAAAGCCCUGAGGGGAGGCUUCUCCCGCGGCCGCCAUCUUUACCGGGGGCAGCGCCGUGAGGGGAGGCCGCCAUCUUUAGUGAGGGCAGCGCCGUGAGGGGAGGACGCGGCGGGACCGGCGCCGUUUCUACCGAAUAUAGAUUAGAUACCGCGAUAAACGUCUCGGAACAAAAACAAAACCUGGUCCCGGCGGAGGAGCGGUGCAGCUGCAGUCAUAGGAAGGGGAACUCCUUCACCUUCUGCGGGUCGCGGGAGUCGGGGAGCAGCGACGUCCGGGGGUCGAAGGUGCCGAGCCAGACCCUCCUGCAGGCCUGGGGGGUCGGGAAGGGGCCGUGGGGCCGCGGGCGG